rnacentral:rRNA from 1 species
GACGGAAGGUGCAAGCGUUGCUCGGAAUCACUGGGCGUAAAGGGUGCGUAGGCGGCCGUGCAAGUCUGGCGUGAAAGCCCCGGGCUCAGCCCGGGAAGUGCGCUCGAAACUGCGCGGCUCGAGUGCCGGAGGGGAGAGUGGAAUUCCUGGUGUAGCGGUGAAAUGCGUAGAUAUCGAGAGGAACACCUGCGGCGAAGGCGGGUUGCUGGGCUGACACUGACGCUGAGGCGCGAAAGCUAGGGGAGCGAGCGGG